ACUCCUACGGGAGGCAGCAGUUAGGAAUCUUCCGCAAUGGGCGAAAGCCUGACGGAGCGAUACCGCUUGAAGGACGAAGCCCUUCGGGGUGUAAACUUCUGAACUGGGGACGAUUAUGACGGUACCCAGGUAAUAGCACCGGCUAACUCCGUGCCAGCAGCCGCGGUAAUACGGAGGGUGCAAGCGUUACCCGGAUUUACUGGGUGUAAAGGGCGUGUAGGCGGUCUCUCAAGUCCGAUGCUAAAGACCAAGGCUCAACCUCGGGAGUGCGUUGGAUACUGUGAGGCUAGACGGUCGGAGAGGGUAGCGGAAUUUCCGGAGUAGCGGUGAAAUGCGCAGAUACCGGAAGGAACGCCAAUAGCGAAAGCAGCUACCUGGACGAUUUGUGACGCUGAGGCGCGAAAGCGUGGGGAGCAAACCGGAUUAGAUACCCUGGUAGACA
rnacentral:rRNA from 1 species